UACGUAGGGUGCAAGCGUUGUCCGGAAUUAUUGGGCGUAAAGAGCUCGUAGGCGGUUCGUCACGUCGGCUGUGAAAUCCCGAGGCUCAACCUCGGGUCUGCAGUCGAUACGGGCGGACUUGAGUACUGCAGGGGAGACUGGAAUUCCUGGUGUAGCGGUGAAAUGCGCAGAUAUCGGGAGGAACACCGGUGGCGAAGGCGGUUCUCUGGGCCUUACCUGACGCUGAGGAGCGAAAGCGUGGGGAGCGAACAGG
rnacentral:rRNA from 1 species